AGAGAGAGAGAGAGAGAGAGAGCAGGUGUAUUUCUCGAUUGGAAUUUAAUUGGUUCUGAUUUUGCAUGUCUUCAGUCUAAAUUGAGAGAGUGGGUUGCUUCUUCUUUUUUCUAGAGCCGUCUAAUCUAAAUUGCGAGUGUUGUCUGGAUUUCUAUAAUCAGUGGAUUGCUUCUUUUUCUACAAUCGUGUUACCCAGAAUUUGUAAUUGUUGAUUUGGACUAGAAAUGCGGGGAUAUGAUACACAGUGAUUGGAUCGACCAGUUGAGGAAUAUGAUGGCCGACGGCAGAGAGGGAUCUGGUGGCGAUAUUCAAGGCGGUGAGGGAGAAGGAGAGGAAGAAGAGGCGGGCGGCGGAGGAGGAGGAGAAGAAGAGGUGGGCGGAGGCCAAGGCCAAGGAGGAGGCCAAGGCGGAGCGCAAGGUGGUGGAGGAGAAGAAGGACAAGGAGGAGGAGGAGGAGAGUGGAAAGAGAGUUCCAAACAAAGGGAAUGGGCUUGAUAUGGAGAAAUACUCAUGGACCCAAAGUCUGCAGGAGGUUAAUAUAAUCAUUCCAGUGCCUGCUGGAACUAAGUCAAGGGAUAUUGUUUAUGAGGCAAAGAACCGUGUGAAGUUUGGACUGGACUGAAGGGUUGGUCUCUUAUAAUUGAUCAAAAAAUACUCUUAUCAAGUGCAGGGAAGAAAAUGGUGGAGUACACGGUGCCAUUAGCAGAGAAGACUAGAGACAUGGCCAUGUUUGCAGGUAAGACCACUCUGCAUUAUGUUGGUCAUGUUGCGGUGAAUUUGAAGGACAAGGCCACUGUGGUAGGUUGGACUGCAGCGCACUACGCAACUGAGGCAGCAGUGGAGGGAACCAAAGCAGCUGCAAGAGUAGUUGCCGGAGCAGCAGGGUAUGCUGGUCAUAAAGCUGUGGAUAUUGUGCCCAAGCCUUUUGAGUGCUGCUAAAGAUGCUGCUGUGGUGACUGGUGAGAAAGCUGAGGCCAAGAAAGCAGCUGAAGCAAAUAGGCCCAAGGUAGAUAUGUCAUGUCGCCUAUAAUAUGCUUACUGUUAUUCAUUCUGCAGUUAAACGUUCCAAAAGAGAUGGAGCAGGGUUCUGAGACUACUUAUCAAGGGGGAGAAUCCAAAUGCUGGGAGCAAGAGAGACAUGGCCGAAACCAGUUCAGAGGGAAUCUCAUCAUAUGCAGAGUGGCAGAGUGGAAUGGUUGAGGAGAGCGAGGAAGGUUGGAGCUCAAAUGCACAGCACGGAGGGCAGGAAUGGAGCUCAAAUGCACAGCAAGGGAGGCAGGGGUGGAGGUCAUCCGAGAAGCAAGGCAGGCAGAGGGGGGGGGGAUACCAGAACAUGAUCAUAGAACAGACUAAAUCUUUUGUUAAUACAAUGAUCAUUUCAACUAUAUUUUCUAUGCUUUUGAAUUUAGUACUUAACGUUGUGUUAGUUCCAAAACCGCAGCAAAGCGCGGCCAACCUUUCUAGUAAAUACUAAGAUGAAAAAUAUUCUUAUAAAUUCAUAUUUAUAAUUAUAAAGGAGCG